GCAUGCAUGUAGAGCUGAAACAACUAAUCGAUUUAAUCGAUUAUAAUCGAUUAUUAAAAUAGUUAACAACUUUUUUAGUCAUCGAUUAGUUGUUUAAUAAUCAUAUUUUACCGCAUAAAGUCUAUUUUUUACCACAAUCUGACAUCGGUUACAAUCUGUUAAAUUUGCCGCCAGUGUGUGGCAGUAAUGAGCCACUGAUCUACCAGUGGGGCGGUAGAAGAAGAAAUUAGCCAAUAAGUGCCCUCGGUUUUCAUGACGUAUCACGUUACUGACGCGCAUCUUGCUGUGAGAGAUGGCGGAUCAACAACAAAUACGGAAGAAAAAUAGAAGCGACAAAACAAGAGAAACCCCGGACAAAAACCUCACGAGUAUGGGAGCACUUCACUAGAUGCCUUGAAAAGACCGGUGACCUACAAAAUAUGCAAAAACCAUGGCACGACGGAAGCACGACGUCCCUAAGUGAACAUUUGAGACGAAAACGUGGGGGCUGAUGCAGCAGAGGAAUGUCCGAAAAAAACAAGCAACGAUGGAGAACUACAUGGGGAACAAGACACUCACCCCCAGCAAUGCAUACCACUUACAAACUCUAUUCCAGAUUCUACAUUAUUUUUUAUGGAAUUUACCUCUUAUAUUUUGAUGCCAAAAAAUUAUUCUGGACUGAUAUUUUGCACUGUUUAGCUCAUUUUACACUGCUGACUGUGGUCAUGUGCAAUAAAAUAGAUUGCAGUCAACUGCACAA